GCCACCACCCAUCCUGCUUGAACCCCAUCUGUCUCUUCCCUUUUCAAAGCCUUUUAAACGACCGCCGCCGCCACUUUCUGUCUCCUCGUCAGCCUUCUUCAUCACCCUCUUCCUCGAUCGUUAAAGAUCUCUGACGACGAUUGCCUCUGAUUCUUGUUGGAACCCUAACCACCGCCUAGGACUUUGGAUUCUUAUCCUUGCUGGAUCCUUACUAUAGCAGUCCUGAAAUAAAUCUAUUCAUGCUAUAGCAAUCCAUCCUUUGUCAUCUUGGAGGUCUAAUUAAUGCUUCUGCUUGUUGUUUGCUAAAAUCUGCUUGUGAUUCUAUAAGAUUAGCUGAGGAACUUUCUGUGCAUCCCGAUGAGCAAUCUGUUCUUGGACAAAUCAAUAUUGGUUUAUUUUCUAUGCCAUGCAAAAAUUCUUUGACUGUCUUUCUGGCUAUCUACUAAUCACGAAAGUGGUACACUAUUCGUGAUUUCUCUAACUAACAUGUAAAGAUAUGCUUCCUUUCAUUGUUUCUGUCCUCCUUUCUGACUGCUAUGGCGUCCUUAAAUCACGACAACAAACAAUCCUCGACACCUUUAACUCCCGAUUUUGAUGCUGCGAUAAGGAAUUUAGCGGCGAUUACAGUAAAACUCAAUGGCACUAACUAUCUUUUCUGGACCCAAUCAUUCAAACUAUUUAUUGGUGCCCAACAAAAGACGCUGCACCUAACUGAAGAUCCUCUAAAUUUCAAAGAUCCUAUCUAUGACGACUGGCUAGCUAAUGACUGCUAAUGAAAUUCUUGAUUGCUAUUGUUAGGUCAAGAUAAAAAAAUCUUACUGUCUCUAUCUUUUGGUAUUUUCAACUCUAUGUAACAAGCUAGAUAUGUUUGAUAUAUAUGCUCCAACUUGAAGAAGAGUGUUAGAAUUAUGCUUAUAUAAUAGGUCCUUACAUAGGAAGAACAUAUUUAAUAUGUCUCUAAACAUAAUAUGAACUUGCUUUUCAAGUAUGUACUUCUUUCCUUAUGCACUUAUUUCUCAUCUAUUUAAAAAGAUAGGAUCUCAUUAAUAAAUGACAUUCCUUUGAGCUUUUUCUUUCAACAUUGCCAAAUCUGAAGCAGGUGCAAUUAUGGAUGCUGGGAAGUGGAUACUUGAGAAACACUUUUAUGAAUGAAAUGCUUAAGAAAUAAGGGAUUAAAGUGGAAACAGGCUGUAGAUUCUGAGAAGAUUCCAAAACGGGUGCCUUUACACUAUGUGAAAGAUUCUGGCUACUAAGGGACAUAAGCAAUAAAGUAUAUCUUUGGUUAAACUCUGAGACAGCUUCACAUACACAUGUCAACAUCUACUUUAAAGUCCAGCAUGGCAAACCUUAAGAGUUAAGAACUAUUUCCACACUCCUAUUACAAUGUAUCCAAACUAAUACUUGUGAUAGCCCUAGAACUCAAAACCAAUAUCCUUGUUGUCUAUUUUUCAUGCUUGCCGUUUUCUAGGACACCCUUGUCUGAAUUCUUAAGCUCUUCAAAGGCUUUCAAAGUGACAACCUGAUAGCCUUCUAUGCCAUAAAAUCUAGGUUAAUUAGGAGAGCAUUGACAUGCAAUCAUGAUUCACUGUCUUCCCUACCACAACAAAAAUCCAAAAUGGCUCAUCAAAAGAAAUCACAACCAUUCAUAUAAAAGGCAUCUAUAACUUCUACAAUAACUUUUGUACUAGAAGUAUCAUAGUGCAUUGCUAUUGUGUAAUGAAAACCAUUACCAUCAAAACUAAGAAAUAGAUGUUACACAAGAAUUUUCACAAAAGGAUUGCAUCCCUUGAUACUACCCUCCAUUUUUUCUU
rnacentral:lncRNA from 1 species